rnacentral:lncRNA from 1 species
CUAAUACAGGUCAUAUAUUAGGCUUUUCUUUUUCAGUGGUCAACGUGGUUCAAUUUCCAGCUAGGACAUAAUUUGCACAAUAACCUGAAGUUGAAAUUAAUACUAAGAAACAAGCUGUACUGUGUGUAAGAAAAAUCCAUUAAGCUGUCUGCAUUAGAGGAAGAAGCUGACCAAUGGAGUUGAAGCAAAUGUGUUAUACCGUAAGAAGAAAGGUUCAGACAAAUAUCACAGGAACCAGGAUGACACUCCAAUAAGGGGGCAGCAGAGGGGCAGUCUGACAAAAUGGCAUAUGACAUGGAAGUGCAUAUGAAGCAAAGAUCAGAGUUCCAAUAUGACCAUGCUCUUGAAAGGGAGGCACUGAAUACAGAGCACAUUUAUCAAGGCAAAAGUGCUUAACUAUGACCUUAAGCACAUGCUGCUGCUUGUUAGUUUAACUGAAGCUGCACAAACAUGAUAAAAGUGAAGUAUGAAGAAACUUUGUCUUUUCUGAGCCAUCUUCUCAUAUGUAGCUGAAAGCUACACAGAGGAAGAAGAAAUGAUUCUACAGACCUACUGUCACACUGUGUUUCCAUGGGUGCGUGGGCAAACUGAUCUAGUACUUGAUCCAGCAGCUGUCUGUGACAGAGAAGGUGGAACUUGACUGACGUCCCUUCCAACCCAAGCCAUUGUAUGGUUCUAUGAAUAUAUUCCAAAUAUCCGAAGAACUUGAGAAAGUUUCAGAAAGCAGAAGAGGAUCAGGAUAGAUUUACUUGCUGCUUUCACCUUGUUCCGACACUGCUUGUUUGCAGAAAAGACUUGCUUACAUAAUUUCACUGCCUUUCUGCCUUUUCAUGUGGGGACAAUACUUAAACUGGUACAACACAAGCUAUAUUACAGUAGAGAUGGACAUCACAACUAAUAUGAAACCAAAGAGCAACAUUUGCUGUACUUACUCAAGAAUAUAAAAGAGCUUUUAACCUAAAUCUGUUGACAUGAAGUGAAAAAUGAAAUGGUUUUCUCUUGGAAAUUAAAUAGAACUGAAAGUGGGUUUUGCUGUUGUUACAAUUUCUGCCAUUGGUUCAUUUCGUAGAAUUACUUCUAUAAUUUCAAGUGUAGCCCACCAAAGUUAAUACAGUGCUACAAAAACAUCAUAAGUUCAAAAGCUCAGACUACCAGUCUUCAUUUCAUAAACUUAUUUUUUUACUUACA